GAUGAACGCUGGCGGCGUGCCUAAUACAUGCAAGUCGAGCGAACGGACGAGAAGCUUGCUUCUCUGAUGUUAGCGGCGGACGGGUGAGUAACACGUGGAUAACCUACCUAUAAGACUGGGAUAACUUCGGGAAACCGUAGCUAAUACCGGAUAAUAUUUUGAACCGCAUGGUUCAAAAGUGAAAGACGGUCUUGCUGUCACUUAUAGAUGGAUCCGCGCUGCAUUAGCUAGUUGGUAAGGUAACGGCUUACCAAGGCAACGAGGCAUAGCCGACUGGGGAGGGUGAUCGGCCACACUGGAACUGAGACACGGUCCAGACUCCUACGGGAGGCAGCAGUAGGGAAUCUUCCGCAAUGGGCGAAAGCCUGACGGAGCAACGCCGCGUGAGUGAUGAAGGUCUUCGGAUCGUAAAACUCUGUUAUUAGGGAAGAACAUAUGUGUAAGUAACUGUGCACAUCUUGACGGUACCUAAUCAGAAAGCCACGGCUAACUACGUG
rnacentral:rRNA from 1 species